rnacentral:rRNA from 1 species
GAGAUGUUGGGUUAAGUCCCGCAACGAGCGCAACCCUCGUCCUUAGUUGCCAUCAUUAAGUUGGGCACUUUAAGGAAACUGCCGGUGAUAAGCCGGAGGAAGGUGGGGAUGACGUCAAGUCCUCAUGGCCCUUACAGGCUGGGCUACACACGUGCUACAAUGGCAUCUACAGUGGGCAGCUAUUCCGCAAGGAUGCGCUAAUCUCCAAAAGAUGUCUCAGUUCGGAUUGUCCUCUGCAACUCGAGGGCAUGAAGGCGGAAUCGCUAGUAAUCGCGGAUCAGCAUGCCGCGGUGAAUACGUUCCCGGGCCUUGUACACACCGCCCGUCACACCAUGGGAGUUGGAUCUACCCGAAGGCCGUGCGCUAACUUUUGAGGCAGCGGACCACGGUGGGUUCAGCGACUGGGGUGAAGUCGUAACAAGGUAGCCCUAGGGGAACCUGGGGCUGGAUCACCUCCUU